CUGAGUUGAGUCUUCUAAAUCAAAAUGCACAUGCUACAAACAAACGUUCCUACUAGGGAUCCGGCAUGAAGUCUUGUUAUAAUAGGUUUAAAACCUGGAUUUAUUUGUUCUAGACCUAGUUUACCCGAGCGAACAACUCAAGCCGAGGGGGGCUGCGUACCGGUAACCAAAAGAUCAACCGACUUUGUAACUUGUCCGAACCUCGUUCUAUUUUGGAUGUGACACUAACAGUAAGAAGUCACGACCAACUUGCACUCCUUGGGAGAGAGAAAAGAGGGGUUUCAUAGCAGUUUAUAUAUACAGUUCAGAUAAUAUCAAAGCGGUAAAAAGCAACAUUUAGCACAUUAGUGCAAAAUAUAAAAUAAAAUCAAAUAAUAAGAAAAGCCAAAUACAACAAUUAUUCUAUGAUCAAAUUCUUGAACCCUAAACCAGAGAUUCUGGGUUAGAUCCCC
rnacentral:lncRNA from 1 species